rnacentral:piRNA from 1 species
UUCAAUUCCUAAGUUGCUAGUUUAAAACAUC